UGCCAUCGGAUGUGCCCAGAUGGGAUUAGCUAGUAGGUGGGGUAACGGCUCACCUAGGCGACGAUCCCUAGCUGGUCUGAGAGGAUGACCAGCCACACUGGAACUGAGACACGGUCCAGACUCCUACGGGAGGCAGCAGUGGGGAAUAUUGCACAAUGGGCGCAAGCCUGAUGCAGCCAUGCCGCGUGUAUGAAGAAGGCCUUCGGGUUGUAAAGUACUUUCAGCGGGGAGGAAGGGAGUAAAGUUAAUACCUUUGCUCAUUGACGUUACCCGCAGAAGAAGCACCGGCUAACUCCGUGCCAGCAGCCGCGGUAAUACGGAGGGUGCAAGCGUUAAUCGGAAUUACUGGGCGUAAAGCGCACGCAGGCGGUUUGUUAAGUCAGAUGUGAAAUCCCCGGGCUCAACCUGGGAACUGCAUCUGAUACUGGCAAGCUUGAGUCUCGUAGAGGGGGGUAGAAUUCCAGGUGUAGCGGUGAAAUGCGUAGAG
rnacentral:rRNA from 1 species